rfam:Ipomoea nil DNA, scaffold: scaffold3322, cultivar: Tokyo-kokei standard.
GCCUUUUUAGCUUAGUGGUAGAGCACCUGGCUUUUAUACACGUGGUUGUGGGAUCGAUCCCCACAGACGGUG